CGGUGGGUGCAAUUCCCACCCGGCAACUAUCGCUCCAGCCGGUAGCAAUCGGAACGGCUGUGGAGGUAACGAAGCAGCCGAAGCCUCUGGUGUAGAAGGUCAUUAUAGGUGACUUGUCGAGCAUGCAGGCCGAACGAGU
rfam:Nitrococcus mobilis Nb-231 1099646003867, whole genome shotgun sequence.